GAUGAAGAACGCAGCGAAAUGCGAUAAGUAAUGUGAAUUGCAGAAUUCAGUGAAUCAUCGAAUCUUUGAACGCACAUUGCGCCCGCCAGUAUUCUGGCGGGCAUGCCUGUUCGAGCGUCAUUUCAACCAUCAAGCCCCCGGCUUGUGUUGGGGACCUGCGGCUGCCGCAGGCCCUGAAAAGCAGUGGCGGGCUCGCUGUCACACCGAGCGUAGUAGCAUACAUCUCGCUCUGGGCGUGCUGCGGGUUCCGGCCGUUAAACCACCUUCAUAACCCAAGGUUGAACUCGGAUCAGGUAGGAAGACCCGCUGAACUUAAGCAUAUCAAUAAGCGGAGGA
rnacentral:misc_RNA from 1 species